AACCACACUAUCAAUAAAUGGAUUCACCCGUGAGAUGACGUGGUUGUUCCACAUAGGACAAUGACGUGGCAUCCUAUUACCAGCCAUCUCAUGAAAUUAAUAGGAUGCCACGUCCUCAUCUUAGGUGGAACAACCACGUCAUCUCACAGGUGAAUCCAUUCAUUGAUAUUGUGGUU
rfam:Oryza glumipatula chromosome 1, whole genome shotgun sequence.